AACCUUUACACUGCACGACAGUGCGAUAGGGGGACUCCGAGUGUGAGGGCAUAUAGCCCUCGCUUUUCUGUACCGUAAGGUGGUACAAGAAUAAGGACUGGGCAAGACCGGUG
rnacentral:rRNA from 1 species